rnacentral:rRNA from 1 species
AUUAGACGAAUCAUCUGGAAAGAUGAAUCAAAGAAGGUAAUAAUCCUGUAGUCGAAAAUGUUGUCUCUCUUGAGUGGAUCCUGAGUACGACGGAGCACGUGAAAUUCCGUCGGAAUCUGGGAGGACCAUCUCCUAAGGCUAAAUACUCUCUAGUGACCGAUAGUGAACCAGUACCGUGAGGGAAAGGUGAAAAGCACCCCGGAAGGGGAGUGAAAUAGAACCUGAAACCGUGUGCUUACAAGUAGUCAGAGCCCGUUAAUGGGUGAUGGCGUGCCUUUUGUAGAAUGAACCGGCGAGUUACGAUUUGAUGCAAGGUUAAGCAGUAAAUGUGGAGCCGUAGCGAAAGCGAGUCUGAAUAGGGCGUUUAGUAUUUGGUCGUAGACCCGAAACCAGGUGAUCUACCCUUGGUCAGGUUGAAGUUCAGGUAACACUGAAUGGAGGACCGAACCGACUUACGUUGAAAAGUGAGCGGAUGAACUGAGGGUAGCGGAGAAAUUCCAAUCGAACCUGGAGAUAGCUGGUUCUCUC